CCUCCCUCGCAGCCUUGGCGGCGCUGAGGUCAUCGCUCGCUGACGUCAGUGCUAGGAACCUGCGCCCGGCUGAGCUGAGCGAGACGAGAGGAGAAAGCGAGGCUCGGGGAGGAGGCUGAGAGCUCUGGAGGAAGGAGGCGGCUUCCGAGUACUCCGCGCCGGGCAGGCCCCGGCCUCGCCUCUCCUCCCAUUUUUAAGGCUCGGGUUAGAGGCCACCUCCUCCGAGAAGCCUUCGGUGACACCACCAGAAGGCUUCCCAGAACCGUUCCCAGGCGGUUCCCCUUUCGGAUUCCGACAGCAUUUUCCAACCAUACACUGUCAGAACCACUCACCAGGACAUGUCGUCACCAUUUUACCUCUUUGCCUCGUCUCUUAACUAGAUGAAAUGGGUUCCUCUUGGCUCUUUGGAAAGGGAGGCUGUCUUCUGCUUAUUUCCGUAGUAAUCCCACCUCCCACAACAAGUUCCAUUCUGCAGCAAUGCCUUUUCUCUUGCUGAGAAACAUUCAAGUCUAAGUUUUAUGUCCUGGUUGCUCAUCUCGCCCACUUGCACGGCCCACCUGUGUGACCCACUCAGGAGUGACCCACCUGCUCUCUUCAGACCAUAUUCCCAUUCAGAAGUGGGUCCCACUCCUCAGGCCUCUGUGCUGGCCCUGUCUGUGGGGUUAGCAUGCAGCCCUGCUCUCCAUUUCCAGCUCAGAAGCAACUGGAUCUUUACCUCAUUGGUGACAACUUAAUUGUGCUGACCAGAGCUGAUAAGAAAUAUCACCCAGGGAAGACCAGCUGCCUCUUCCUCACUUCCUAAUCAAGGUGGAAAUACUGCUAAAUAUAUCACAACUCUUUGCAAGCAUCGUUGGGUAACGAUCAGGACAUCUUUGGGGGUUCCCUAUCAGUUUCUCACAAAGUUGAACCUUUCAAGGUCAGUUCUAGGCCAGCCAGUCUGGGAGUCAUUCUUUAGAACCAGAAGAGAAUUAAGAAGAGGAGAAAAUGACAUUGUCUUUAAAACCUGCUAAUGAGAACUACAGGAAGGCAGCUAUUUUUAAUAUUUCUGGUUUGAACCCCUUCCUCCACCCCAGAAUGAACUGAGAGUAGGGACAGAAAUAGAUAAUGCAAAGAUGAUUAGGGUUGAGGGUAAGCAGAAAACUACCCAUCUAGACUGAAGGAAGGCUUGCUAACACAUCAGUAAGCAAACAGCUUUCUAAUCUGCAGGUAACAAGCUUUACAUCCCUGAGGACACUUUUUGAGAUGGGACUUUGUUGUUUUUUGUUUUUUUGAGACGGAGUCUUGCUCUGUCACCCAGGCCGGAGUGCAGUGGUGCGGUCUUGGCUCACUGCAACUUCUGCCUUCCGAGUUGAAACGAUUCUCCUGCCUCCGCCUCCCGAGUAGCUGGGAUUACAGGUGCACACCACCAUGCCCAGCUAAUUUUUUUGUUGUUGUUGUAUUUUUAGUAGAGACAGGGUUUCAUCUUGUUGGUCAAGCUGGUCUUGAACUCCUGACCUUGUGAUCUGCCCUCCUUGGCCUCCCAAAGUGCUGGGAUUACAGGCGUGAGCCACCACGCCCGGCCUAGGACUUUUUGAGACCCUACUGAAGGCUGAAGAAGAGUCUGGAAGCUAAAGAGUAACCCAUUCCACCACUUGUUCUGAAGAUAGAAGAAGCAAAAAAAGAUUAAAUUGCACAAAAAGCACUUAAAUUAGACAACAGAAGAAUGUCCUGAUACAAAGUAAGUGUCUAAGAUGUGUUAAACAAGAUGCCCACUCCAGCCAGGACUCAGACACUCCUGGGUAGAGAGCAUCUUCACAGUUUGGGAUGAAAGUGACUACACAGAGUGGUGGAGUGAAGGCUGCAGGCCCCUCCCCAAGGUGGCAUCUAACCCCGGCGGUAUCAGGACCUCAGAGGUUACCCACAUGAUUUCCAGCUGAUGAGCAGAAAUAGCCAUGGCAGGUGCAGGCUUCACUUGCUGCCACCAACUUGGGAGCUCACCAAACACCCGAUGGCCAAAAGCACCAGGGUCUCUCUGAGCCCCGGGCUCGCCACCAGGCAAGCUUGGGUGCUUGGGAGGGCCAUGGUUCUUCACAGUGCAGCCCCUGGAUUUCUUCUCAGUUCACUCAACUCUCUCUCCUGAAUCCCAUCUGUGCAGCUCAGAAGUCACAAAUUGAAACCCCCCAAGGCAAAGCUGAACAUAGAUACAAAUGGUUUUGUCUGUGUAGUGUUUAAGCACUUAAAAAAUUCAUUGUGAACAUUUAAUAAUUAGGAAGUGUCAAAAUGAAAAUAUCUAGAAUUUCUCUGUAAAAACCAGAUCUGUUAACACUGAUCCCACACUUCUAUUUGGCAAUGACUGGCCCCUAAGACAGGGGGUAUGUCCUCUAGCUCACCACAGUCUCCACCAUUACCUACUGCAUCCCUGCUGAGACAAAGUGGUACUUGCCAUUUAUUAAGGAUGAAUGCAGUUUUUUUUUUUUAAUUAUACUUAAUCCUCAUUUGCAUUACCUGCCUUGAUUCUGGAGGUAUUUGAAUUUGCAUCUCCUCAUAAAGAAUAAAUCUCAAAAUCAUCAUCUCUAAUUUC